rnacentral:rRNA from 1 species
GACGAACGCUGGCGGCGUGCUUAACACAUGCAAGUCGAACGGAAAGGCCCUGCUUUUGUGGGGUGCUCGAGUGGCGAAUGGGUGAGUAACACGUGAGUAACCUGCCCUUGACUUUGGGAUAACUUCAGGAAACUGGGGCUAAUACCGGAUAGGAGCUCCUGCUGCAUGGUGGGGGUUGGAAAGUUUCGGCGGUUGGGGAUGGACUCGCGGCUUAUCAGCUUGUUGGUGGGGUAGUGGCUUACCAAGGCUUUGACGGGUAGCCGGCCUGAGAGGGUGACCGGCCACUGGGACUGAGAUACGGCCCAGACUCCUACGGGAGGCAGCAGUGGGGAAUAUUGCACAAUGGGCGGAAGCCUGAUGCAGCAACGCCGCGUGCGGGAUGACGGCCUUCGGGUUGUAAACCGCUUUCGCCUGUGACGAAGCGUGAGUGACGGUAAUGGGUAAAGAAGCACCGGCUAACUACGUGCCAGCAGCCGCGGUGAUACGUAGGGUGCGAGCGUUGUCCGGAUUUAUUGGGCGUAAAGGGCUCGUAGGUGGUUGAUCGCGUCGGAAGUGUAAUCUUGGGGCUUAACCCUGAGCGUGCUUUCGAUACGGGUUGACUUGAGGAAGGUAGGGGAGAAUGGAAUUCCUGGUGGAGCGGUGGAAUGCGCAGAUAUCAGGAGGAACACCAGUGGCGAAGGCGGUUCUCUGGGCCUUUCCUGACGCUGAGGAGCGAAAGCGUGGGGAGCGAACAGGCUUAGAUACCCUGGUAGUCCACGCUGUAAACGGUGGGUACUAGGUGUGGGGUCCAUUCCACGGGUUCCGUGCCGUAGCUAACGCUUUAAGUACCCCGCCUGGGGAGUACGGCCGCAAGGCUAAAACUCAAAGGAAUUGACGGGGCCCCGCACAAGCGGCGGAGCAUGCGGAUUAAUUCGAUGCAACGCGUAGAACCUUACCUGGGUUUGACAUGGAUCGGGAGUGCUCAGAGAUGGGUGUGCCUCUUUUGGGGUCGGUUCACAGGUGGUGCAUGGCUGUCGUCAGCUCGUGUCGUGAGAUGUUGGGUUAAGUCCCGCAACGAGCGCAACCCUUGUUCACUGUUGCCAGCACGUUAUGGUGGGGACUCAGUGGAGACCGCCGGGGUCAACUCGGAGGAAGGUGGGGAUGACGUCAAGUCAUCAUGCCCCUUAUGUCCAGGGCUUCACGCAUGCUACAAUGGCUGGUACAGAGAGUGGCGAGCCUGUGAGGGUGAGCGAAUCUCGGAAAGCCGGUCUCAGUUCGGAUUGGGGUCUGCAACUCGACCUCAUGAAGUCGGAGUCGCUAGUAAUCGCAGAUCAGCAACGCUGCGGUGAAUACGUUCCCGGG